CGCGCGGCUCAGCAGCUCUCUUUGCUUUAUUGGGUUGAAGGACGGGAAGGUUUCCGCCCCCUGCCAUGAGCCUGCCAUGCAGUGACCCCGCCGAGGAGGGGGGAGGCGGGGGGGGCUGGAGCCCCCAAUUUGGGCCAGAGCCCCACAGCUGUCAGUUCGUUGCCCUGUGGGUGCCGCAGGGCCGGCUGGGGACCGGCAGCUCCGGCCACAGACUCGGCCCGAAGCGAAGGGGGCGGCGCAGAGCCCGGCGGAGCCGAAGGACUCAGGCGCUGCUGACGCCCAUAUUCUGCAUCUGCUCCUCCAGCACCCGCUCCCCGCCCGCCGCCUUCUUCCUGCCCCCUUCCUGCUGCUUCUUCUGCUUCUUGGAGAGCUCCUGCUCGAUGGGGGCCGGCUUCACAAAGCGGAUGAUCUGACGGAGGUCUGGGGGCAUGAAGUCCCGCAGCCGCUCGGGGACGACGAUGCCCUCCUCGGUCUGGUAGUUCUCCAGGAUGGCGCAGAUGGUUCGGGUGGUGGCGCACAUCGUGGCGUUGAGCAUGUGCACAAACUCCACCUUGUCCAUCAUCUUCUUGGUCUGCCCGAAGCGGAUGCGCAAGCGGCGCGCCUGGUAGUCGGUGCAGUUGGAGCAGGACACGAGCUCACGGAACGCCCCCGAGCCUGGGAACCAAGCCUCCAGGUCCAGCUUCUUGCUGGCAGCGUGGUUCAGGGCGCCCGAAACGAUGUUGACGAUGUGGUAGGGGAUGCCCAGCGACUGGUAGAACUCCUCGGCCGUGGCGAUCAUCUCGUCGAACAUCUCCCACGACUUGUUGUCGUGCGGGGAGGCGUAGACGAACUGCUCGAUCUUCUCAAACUGGUGCACACGGAAGAUGCCGCGCGUGUCGCGGCCGUGCGAGCCGACCUCCUGGCGGAAGCAGGUGGACAGCCCUGCAUAUUUGAUGGGCAGAUCCUCCGGCUUCAGCCACUCGUCCCGGUGCAGGGCGGCGAUGGGCUGCUCUGAGGUGGCAAUGAGGUACUUCUCAUCGAUGGAGCUGUCCUCCGCCUUCUCGCUGCCCUUGCCGAUCACCUUGUAGAGCUCCUCGUCAAACUGGCUGAGCUGGGCCACCUCCUGCAUCACCUCCUUCCGCAUGAAGAAGGGCGUGUAGACAGGAGUGUAGCCCUUGGCGCGGAGGCUCUGCAGGGCGUACUGGAUCAGGGCCUGCUCCAGGAACACCAGGGGACCCUUCAAGAAGUAGCCCCGGCUUCCCGCGACAACGGCCCCCUUCUCUCCCUCAUAACCGUCCACCAUCACCACCAGGUCCACGUGGGAAUACUUCUUCCUGCAGCUGCAGUUCCCCCAGAUCCGCUCCACUUUGUUGUCCGCAUCCUCAUCGUUGCUGAUGGGCACUGAGGGGUGCAGGAGGUUCCCGAUCUCCCGGAGGCUCUCGAAGCGCUCUGCUUCCAGCCUGACGCGCUCCGCGUCGCACUCCAGGAUGGCUUCGUCGAUGAGGAGGCGGACCUUCUUGAUCUGGGACACCUGCAGCCCCCCCAGGACGUCGGCUGUCAGCUCAUCCAGGUUCUGCGCGCUCUCCGGCACGGACUCAUCGCUCCCCACGGGCUCCUUCUUCUUCAUCUUAUCACCAAUGGUUUUGCUGCAAAGGUUCUUCAGCUUGUUCAAGUUAUCGGCACGAAACCUGCACCUCCGCCAGGCGCCGUCCGCCCGCACCAGCGCGUCCACCAGCGCCGGGUCUUUGAAGCGCUUCCGCUGCAUCUCCCGCACGGCCGCGGGGUCUCCGCCUUUGUCGGCGCGGAACAGGUCCAGGUCCAGCACCAUGGCGGCGGCGGCGGCGGCGGCUCCGGAGCGCGGUGACAGCGGCGGUUCCCGUGCCCGCGUCCGCUCCGCACUGCGCCUGCGCC
rnacentral:lncRNA from 1 species